rnacentral:rRNA from 1 species
UACGUAGGGUGCGAGCGUUGUCCGGAAUUAUUGGGCGUAAAGAGCUCGUAGGCGGUGUGUCGCGUCGGCCGUGAAAACCUGGGGCUCAACUCUGGGCGUGCGGUCGAUACGGGCAUCACUUGAGUUCGGCAGGGGAGACUGGAAUUCCUGGUGUAGCGGUGAAAUGCGCAGAUAUCAGGAGGAACACCGGUGGCGAAGGCGGGUCUCUGGGCCGAUGACUGACGCUGAGGAGCGAAAGCGUGGGGAGCGAACAGG